AACAUCUUGUCUCCCAGGCCAUCCAUUAUUAGGCGUUGUUUCCAAGGGACUUUUAAAGGUCAGUGGCAGUGGGGAAGAGAAGAGAAAGAUGGGGUUAGAAUUAGAGAUGUAGCUGAUGGAGAUCAAGUGGGAAGGGGCUGACAUGGCCAUCCAUUCUCUACCUCCAAAUUCAGUCCUGGUUCAGUCCUACUGACACGAUUGCGGCUGGCCACUAGGGGGUGGCCAAGGUAUGGGGAACAUCUCUAUAUUCCUUCUUUGAGCAAAAGAAACUUUGGACUUCUUUUACAAGAGUUUUUUUACCAGGAAGCACCUCAAAUUGCCUUACACAUAACAGGAGCUACUCAAUACUUCUUGGAUUGGUUUGGAGCAAGAAUCACUUGGAUGUCAAGCUGAGAUCUGUAUCAGUUUAGGGAGUUCUCACACAUAUGAAGUCAUGAUCAAUUAUAAUAUCAAAGAAAAAUCAAUUAUUGCUAAUUCAUUAUAAUUAGCUGAUGUCUUUUUUUCAAAGAAAACUUUAUGCCUCAAAUUGGUUCAAUCUUACUUCUCCAAAAGGCCUUUAAAGAGCAGGCCCCCAAAUGGAAAACACAUCAUAAGAUUGUGGGGAUAUGUUUUUGAGAAGGUUCCUAUUCCAAGAAAGCUAUCACUAAUGUCAAUAUGGAGGCAAAAUUGAGCGUCCUGGAUCAGCGAUAAAUAAGCAUUUUGG